rnacentral:rRNA from 1 species
AACGAACGCUGGCGGCAGGCCUAAUACAUGCAAGUCGAACGCUCCAGCAAUGGAGAGUGGCAGACGGGUGAGUAACGCGUGGGAACCUUCCCAGUGGUACGGAAUAGCUCAGGGAAACUUGAGGUAAUACCGUAUACGCCCCAAGGGGGAAAGAUUUAUCGCCAUUGGAUGGGCCCGCGUCGGAUUAGCUAGUUGGCGGGGUAAUGGCCUACCAAGGCGACGAUCCGUAGCUGGUCUGAGAGGAUGAUCAGCCACACUGGGACUGAGACACGGCCCAGACUCCUACGGGAGGCAGCAGUAGGGAAUAUUGGACAAUGGGCGAAAGCCUGAUCCAGCCAUGCCGCGUGAGUGACGAAGGCCUUCGGGUUGUAAAGCUCUUUUGGCGGGGACGAUAAUGACGGUACCCGCAGAAUAAGCUCCGGCUAACUUCGUGCCAGCCGCCGCAGUAACAC